rnacentral:rRNA from 1 species
CGGCCGCGUCGACGUUUGAUCCUGGCUCAGGACGAACGCUGGCGGCGUGCUUAACACAUGCAAGUCGAACGGAAAGGCCCUGCUUUUGUGGGGUGCUCGAGUGGCGAACGGGUGAGUAACACGUGAGUAACCUGCCCUUGACUUUGGGAUAACUUCAGGAAACUGGGGCUAAUACCGGAUAGGAGCUCCUGCUGCAUGGUGGGGGUUGGAAAGUUUCGGCGGUUGGGGAUGGACUCGCGGCUUAUCAGCUUGUUGGUGGGGUAGUGGCUUACCAAGGCUUUGACGGGUAGCCGGCCUGAGAGGGUGACCGGCCACAUUGGGACUGAGAUACGGCCCAGACUCCUACGGGAGGCAGCAGUGGGAAUAUUGCACAAUGGGCGGAAGCCUGAUGCAGCAACGCCGCGUGCGGGAUGACGGCCUUCGGGUUGUAAACCGCUUUCGCCUGUGACGAAGCGUGAGUGACGGUAAUGGGUAAAGAAGGCACCGGCUAACUACGUGCCAGCAGCCGCGGUGAUACGUAGGGUGCGAGCGUGUCGGAGUUAUUGGUACGG